AAAUUGAAGAGUUUGAUCAUGGCUCAGAUUGAACGCUGGCGGCAGGCCUAACACAUGCAAGUCGAGCGGAAACGAGUUAUCAGAACCUUCGGGGAACGAUAACGGCGUCGAGCGGC
rnacentral:rRNA from 1 species